CGCAGCCUGAUCAGCCAUGCCGCGUGCAGGAUGACGGUCCUAUGGAUUGUAAACUGCUUUUGUACGGGAAGAAACCCUCCUACGUGUAGGAGAUUGACGGUACUGUAAGAAUAAGGAUCGGCUAACUCCGUGCCAGCAGCCGCGGUAAUACGGAGGAUCCAAGCGUUAUCCGGAAUCAUUGGGUUUAAAGGGUCCGUAGGCGGCCAAGUAAGUCAGUGGUGAAAGCCCAUCGCUCAACGGUGGAACGGCCAUUGAUACUGCUUGGCUUGAAUUACAAGGAAGUAACUAGAAUAUGUAGUGUAGCGGUGAAAUGCUUAGAGAUUACAUGGAAUACCAAUUGCGAAGGCAGGUUACUACUUGUGGAUUGACGCUGAUGGACGAAAGCGUGGGUAGCGAACAGGAUUAGAUACCCUGGUAGUCCACGCCGUAAACGAUGGAUACUAGCUGUUGGGAGUGAUCUCAGUGGCUAAGCGAAAGUGAUAAGUAUCCCACCUGGGGAGUACGUUCGCAAGAAUGAAACUCACAG
rnacentral:rRNA from 1 species